AGCAGCCGCGGUAAUUCCAGCUCCAAUAGCGUAUAUUAAAGUUGUUGCAGUUAAAAAGCUCGUAGUUGAACUUCAGGCCUGGCUGGACGGUCCGCCCUCUGGGUGAGCACUGUCUGUGGUCGGGUCCUACCUUCUGGCGAAGCGGCAUGGCCUUAACCGGCCGUGGCGGGGAACCAGGACUUUUACUGUGAGAAAAUUAGAGUGUUCAAAGCAGGCACGCGCUUGAAUACAUUAGCAUGGAAUAAUGGAAUAGGACAAUGGUUCUAUUUGUUGGUUUCUAGGACCGUUGUAAUGAUUAAUAGGGAUAGUUGGGGGCAUUAGUAUUCAAUUGUCAGAGGUGAAAUUCUUGGAUUUAUUGAAGACUAACUACUGCGAAAGCAUUUGCCAAGGAUGUUUUCAUUAAUCAAGAACGAAAGUUAGGGGAUCGAAGACGAUCAGAUACCGUCGUAG
rnacentral:rRNA from 1 species